rnacentral:rRNA from 1 species
CGGGAAUUUUGGGCAAUGGGCGAAAGCCUGACCCAGCAACGCCGCGUGAAGGAUGAAGUAUUUCGGUAUGUAAACUUCGAAAGAAUGGGAAGAAUAAAUGACGGUACCAUUUAUAAGCUCCGGCUAACUACGUGCCAGCAGCCGCGGUAAUACGUAGGGAGCAAGCGUUGUUCGGAUUUACUGGGCGUAAAGGGCGCGUAGGCGGCGUGUCAAGUCAAUUGUGAAAUCUCCGGGCUUAACUCGGAACGGCCAAUUGAUACUGUCAUGCUAGAGUGCAGAAAGGGCAAUCGGAAUUCUUGGUGUAGCGGUGAAAUGCGUAGAUAUCAAGAGGAACACCUGAGGCGAAGGCGGGUUGCUAGGCUGACACUGACGCUGAGGCGCGAAAGCCAGGGGAGCAAA